GCCUGUUUAUCAAAAACAUCGCCUCUUGUUCAAUUAUAGGAGGUCCAGCCUGCCCAGUGACUUUGUUCAACGGCCGCGGUAUCCUAACCGUGCGAAGGUAGCGUAAUCACUUGUUCUUUAAAUGAGGACUAGUAUGAAUGGCCCCACGAGGGCUGCACUGUCUCCUUUUUCUAAUCAAUGAAACUAAUCUCCCCGUGAAGAAGCGGGAAUUAUCCUAUAAGACGAGAAGACCCUAUGGAGCUUUAAACAAUUGAAACAUUUGCUUUCCUCCUAACUCCUCCCGAGCUCUUUAUUUUUAUUUAAGCAUUAUUAUUUCUAGUUUUAGGUUGGGGUGACCACGGAGCAAAACUAAACCUCCAUGAAGAAAUGAAUAUUUUUAAGCCACAAACUACUUUUUUAAGCAUCAACAAAUUGACCUUCAUUGACCCAAUAUAUUGAUCAACGAACCAAGUUACCCUAGGGAUAACAGCGCAAUCUACUUCAAGAGCUCAUAUCGACAAGUAGGUUUACGACCUCGAUGUUGGAUCAGGGUAUCCUAGUGGUGCAGCCGCUACUAAUGGUU
rnacentral:rRNA from 1 species